rnacentral:misc_RNA from 1 species
UCUCCGUUGGUGAACCAGCGGAGGGAUCAUUACUGGAAUCGCAAGAUCCCACAACCCCUGUGAACCUACCGGAACGUUGCCUCGGCGGGCGCCCGGCCCCGCGCCGGGCGCUGAGCCCGCCGGCGGCCCCCUACUCUUGUCUCUGCAGCGUGGCAUCUCAGAGUCCAGAAAACAAGUAAGAACUUUCAACAACGGAUCUCUUGGCUCUA